GGCAGACGGGUGAGUAACGCGUGGGAACAUACCCUCCGGUUCGGAAUAACUCAGGAAAACUUGAGCUAAUACCGGAUACGGCUGAGAGGCGAAAGAUUUAUCGCCGGUGGAUCGGCCCGCGUUCGAUUAGCUAGUUGGUGGGGUAACGGCUCACCAAGGCGACGAUCGAUAGCUGGUCUGAGAGGAUGAUCAGCCACAUUGGGACUGAGACACGGCCCAAACUCCUACGGGAGGCAGCAGUGGGGAAUAUUGGACAAUGGGCGCAAGCCUGAUCCAGCCAUGCCGCGUGAGUGAUGACGGCCUUAGGGUUGUAAAGCUCUUUCGCUCGGGACGAUAAUGACGGUACCGAGAGAAGAAGCCCCGGCUAACUUCGUGCCAGCCGCCGCGG
rnacentral:rRNA from 1 species